rnacentral:tRNA from 1 species
AGUUUAUAUAAAAUAAUAGAAUGUCAAUCUUUAGAAACUAAUUUAGUACUCCUUGACAUUAGAUGGC